GAUGAACGCUAGCGGCAGGCUUAACACAUGCAAGUCGAGGGGCAGCGCGGAGUAGCAAUACUCUGGCGGCGACCGGCGGAAGGGUGCGUAACACGUGAGCGACUUGCCCGUCACAGGGAGAUAACCGCUGGAAACGGCGACUAAUAUCCCAUAUGAUGGCGAUCUGCAUGGAUUGUCAUUGAAAGAUUCAUCGGUGGCGGAUAGGCUCGCGGGACAUUAGCUAGACGGCGGGGCAACGGCCCACCGUGGCGACGAUGUCUAGGGGUUCUGAGAGGAAGACCCCCCACACUGGGACUGAGACACGGCCCAGACUCCUACGGGAGGCAGCAGUGAGGAAUAUUGGUCAAUGGGCGAAAGCCUGAACCAGCCAAGUAGCGUGCAGGAUGACGGCCCUAUGGGUUGUAAGCUGCUUUUAGGCGGGGUAAAGUGGCGGACGUGUUCCGCCUUUGCAAGUACCGCCAGAAAAAGGACCGGCUAAUUCCGUGCCAGCAG
rnacentral:rRNA from 1 species